rnacentral:rRNA from 1 species
GACGAACGCUGGCGGCGUGCUUAACACAUGCAAGUCGAACGGAAAGGCCCUGCUUUUGUGGGGUGCUCGAGUGGCGAACGGGUGAGUAACACGUGAGUAACCUGCCCUUGACUUUGGGAUAACUUCAGGAAACUGGGGCUAAUACCGGAUAGGAGCUCCUGCUGCAUGGUGGGGGUUGGAAAGUUUCGGCGGUUGGGGAUGGACUCGCGGCUUAUCAGCUUGUGGGUGGGGUAGUGGCUUACCAAGGCUUUGACGGGUAGCCGGCCUGAGAGGGUGACCGGCCAUAAUGGGACUGAGAUACGGCCCAGACUCCUACGGGAGGCAGAAGUGGGGAAUAUUGCACAAUGGGCGGAAGCCUGAUGCAGCAGCGCCGCGUGCGGGAUGACGGCCUUCUGGUUGUAAACCGCUUUCGCCUGUGACGAAGCGUGAGUGACGGUAAUGGGUAAAGAAGCACCGGCUAACUACGUG